AACGAACGCUGGCGGCGCGCCUAAUACAUGCAAGUCGAGCGAGAAGACGUAGCAAUACGUUUGUAAAGCGGCGAACGGGUGAGGAAUACAUGGGUAACCUACCCUCGAGUGGGGAAUAACUAGCCGAAAGGUUAGCUAAUACCGCGUACGCUCCUUGGACUUCGGUUCAGGGAGGAAAGCGAUACCGUGGGUAUCGCGCUCUUGGAUGGGCUCAUGUCCUAUCAGCUUGUUGGUGAGGUAACGGCUCACCAAGGCUUCGACGGUAGCUGGUCUGAGAGGACGAUCAGCCACACUGGCACUGCGACACGGGCCAGACUCCUACGGGAGGCAGCAGUAAGGAAUAUUGCGCAAUGGGCGAAAGCCUGACGCAGCGACGCCGCGUGGGGGGAUGGAAGGUC
rnacentral:rRNA from 1 species